rnacentral:lncRNA from 1 species
AUGCACACUGCACUUGUCUUAUUUGUAGUGCAAAAAACAAUCUUACAAAAAACAAAUCUCGGCUAUCAAACAUCUAAGAAUUCUCACAAAAUUUCGCAUCUGAUGUACAUGGAUGACCUGAAGCUGUAUGGAAAAACGGAAACUGAAAUCCAGUCUCUGACUAACACGGUCCGAAUAUUUAGCACUGAUAUCAGCAUGGAGUUUGGCUUGGACAAAUGUUCGACAGUGGCAUUGAAGAAGGGAAAAAUCAUUGAAAGUGAGGGCAUAAAUAUGCCCAAUGGUAAAACAAUAAAGUGUCACCAGCCAGAGGCCUAUAAAUAUCUGGGCAUAUUACAGCUGGACAACAUCAAGCAUGAACAUGUGAAGACUGUGUUCAGUAAAGAAUACACACAAAGGGUCAGAAAAAUUCUCAAAAGCAAGCUCAAUGGAGGCAACAGCAUCAAGGCCAUAAACACCUGGGACAUACCUGUCAUAAGAUAUACUGCUGGCAUCAUAAACUGGACACAGAUGGAACUGGACAAUUUGGACAGAAAAACAAGAAAACUCAUGACCAUUCAUCAUUCACUGCACCCUUGCAGUGAUGUUGACCGACUAUAUCUGCCUAGAAGAUCAGGGGGUAGAGGACUCUUACAAGUAAAACAAGCAGUCAAAGAAGAAGAACAUGCCCUGGCAGAAUAUGUAAAGCAAAGUGAAAAACCUGCUUUGAUUGAAGUCAAAAAUUAGAAACUCCUCAAAGCACAGCAGACAAAAAACCAGUACAAGAAAGCCACACUACAAACUAGAGCUGACAGCUGGCACAACAAAACAUUGCAUGGAAAGUUCCUUGACAAAACUGAAGGAAAAGCUGAUAAGGAGAAGACCUGGCUAUGGCUCACGAAUGGGACACUGAAGAAGGAGACAGAAGGCCUGAUCCUUGCAGCCAGGAGCAAGCCAUCAAAACAAAUGCAAUUAAGGCCAAGAUUGAAAAAUCAGCUGUUGAUCCAAAAUGCAGACUGUGCAAGGAAACCGAUGAAACCAUUGAUCAUAUCCUCAGCUGCUGUAAGAAAAUUGCACAGACAGACUACAAACAGAGGCACAACUACGUGGCCCAAAUGAUCCAUUGGAACUUAUGCCUCAAGUACCACUUCCCAGUAGCAAAGAACUGGUGGGAUCACAAACCUGCAAAGGUUGUGGAAAAUGAGCACGCAAAGAUACUGUGGGACUUCCGAAUCCAGACUGACAAAGUUCUGGAACACAACACACCAGACAUCACAGUUGUGGAAAAGAAAAAGGUUUGGAUCAUUGAUGUCGGCAUCCCAGGUGACAGUCGCAUUGACCUCAAGAUCAGGACCUCAAGAUUGAACUUCAAAGACUCUGGCAGAAACCAGUGCAGGUGGUCCCGGUGGUGAUGGGCACAUUGGGUGCCGUGCCAAAAGAUCUCAGCUGGCAUUUGGAAACAAUAGACAUUGACAAAAUUACGAUCUGCCAGCUGCAAAAGGCCACCCUGCUGGGAUCUGUGCGCAUCAUCCAAAAAUACAUCACACAGUCCUAGACACUUGGGAAGUGUUCGACUUGUGAUUUUGUGAUAUGAAAUCCAGCAUAUCUAUCUUGUUUGCUGUGUCAUACUUAUAAUAAUAAUAAUAAUAAUAAUAAUAAUAAUAAUAAUAAUAAUAAUAAUAAUAAUAAUAAUAAAAUAGAAAGUUAUCUGUUCUUUUUGUCCUUUCUGUAGGUUUUUCCUCAAUACUGGGUGCAGAUCUUCUUGAGGAACAUGAUGAAAGACAGAUUAAUUUCAGCAUUGAUUGGUCUCCUUCUUUUAUACAUGCACUUGAAGCUAGGCAUACCUUUCAAAAGGUCACAAAUGAUUUUCAAGCUCUUGGAACAAAGCUAAAACAAAGUAAUGUACAUGUGGUCUUUUCAUCCCUUCUCCCUGUUGUACGAUGUGGCCUGCAAGGGCCAGAAAAAUAGUACAGGACAAUAACUGGCUCAGAAAAUGGUGUCAGGAAGAAUGCUUUGGCUUCCUCGACCAUAGCCUACUUUUCGAGGAGGAAGGCCUACUGGCAAGGGAUGGGGUGCAUCUCACACAAGUAGGAAAACACCUUUUUGCUCACAGACUAGCAAACUUCAUCAGGCACACUUUAAACUAGGUCAGCCGGGUGAGGGGGACAAUAGCCUUGCGAACAGUAUUUUACCCACGACCACAGGGAAUUGCCAUAAUACUACAUGGAGGGUUGCACAAGCACAAGGACCAAUUACCAAGAACACAAUAAUCCCAAAGGAACAGCUCAGGGGAAGGUCCCAGGGGCUUGCAUGUCUUUACAUUAAUGCACAGAGCAUGGGGAAUAAACAAAAUGAACUCCAACUUAUAGCACAACACUACACUUACGAUGUCAUAGGCAUCACUGAAACAUGGUGGGAUGACACCCAUCAUUGGAAUGUAGCCAUUUCACAGAAACAGAACAAAGGGGAGAGGAGGGGGAGUAGCCCUAUAUGUCAAAAACAUUUACGUUGCAGAAGAGAUGCAAGACGUCAAUCCGGGAAACCAACUUGAAAGCAUCUGGAUAAGAAUCAAGGGAACCGGGACUCAAAAUGAUCUCGUCGUGAGUGUCUACUACAGACUUCUGAACCAGGAUGAAGAACUUGAUGAAGCCUUCUGUCAGCAGCUGACCAAACAGGCACAAGGAAGAGAUAUAGUAGUCAUGAGUGAUUUCAACUAUCCUGAUAUCUGCUGGAAAACAAACUCAGUAAAGCGUACAAAGUCCAACCAAUUUCUCACUUGCCUUGCAGACAAUUCUAUGGUCCAGAAGGUAGAAGAGGCAACAAAGGGAUUGGCUACUCUUGACCUCAUCCUAACAAACCCGGAGGACCAGAUCAAUGCAGUUGAAGUGGUUGGAUCUUUAGGGGCAAUUGACCAUGAGUUCCUGCAGUUUGCAAUACAAAGGAAGGCCGAAACGAAAAAAGUCAAACCCGCUUUCUGAACUUUAGGAGAGCUAACUUCCAAAAAAUGAAGGAAAUACUGAGCGGCAUUCUAUGGAUGCCAAUACUAAAAGACAAGGGAGUCAAGGAUGGAUGGGAGUUUUUCAAAAGUGAAAUACUCAAGGUGCAAAUGCAAACAGUGCCAAGAAUAAAAACAAGACAAGUGCGAAGAAGCCAGAAUGGAUGUCCAAAGAACUUCUAACUGGGCUCAGACUCAAAAGAGACAUGCACAAGAAGUGGAAAAAGGGAGAAAUCACCAAAGAAGAAUUCAAGCGAGUAGCCAACUCCUGUAGGGAAAAGGUUCACAAGGCUAAAGCGCAAAACGAGCUCAGGCUUGCCAGAGACAUUAAAAACAAUAAAAAGGGCUUCUUUGCUUACGUUGGUAGGAAAAGGAAGAACAAGGAGGCGAUAGGGCCUCUGCGAGGAGAAGAUGGGGCAAUUCUGAAAUGGGAUAGGGAAAAGGCAGAACUAUUUAAUGCCUUCUUUGCCUCAGUCUUCUCACAAAAAGAAAGCCAGCCUCAACCUCAGCAACAUGUAGUGGAUGCAGGAUUGGAGGAAAUCCAACCCCAAAUAGGGAAAGAAGUUAUCCAGGAAUACCUGGCUGCUCUAAAUGAAUUCAAGUCUCCAGGGCCGGAUCAAUUACACCCAAGAGUAUUGAAGGAAUGUGGUCCCUAUCUUCAAGAAGGGAAAAAAGGAUGACCCAAACAAUUACCAUCCAGUUAGCCUCACGUCGAUACCAGGCAAGAUUCUGGAAAAGAUAAUUAAGGAAGUGGU